rnacentral:rRNA from 1 species
UGACUCUGCGAGAAGUCCAUUGAACCUUAUCAUUUAGAGGAAGGAGAAGUCGUAACAGGGUUUCCGUNGGUGAACCUGCGGAGGGAUCAUUG